GAUUUAUACCUAUUCGAAGGGAUAGGGUGGUUUGGCCGGAUUUCACACAGGUGUUGCAUGGCUGUCGUCAGCUCGUGUCGUGAGAUGUGGGUUAAGUCCCGCAACGAGCGCAACCCUCAUCCUUAGUUACCAUCAGGUUAUGCUGGGGUUUAAGGAAACUGCCAGUGAUAAACUGGAGGAAGGUGGGGAUGAUGUCAAGUCAUCAUGGCCUUAUGGAGUGGGCUACACACGUGCUACAAUGGUGAUUACAAUGGGCUGCAAGGUCGCAAGCUGAGCUAAUCCUAAAAAAUCAUCUCAGUUCGGAUUGUUCUCUGCAACUCGAGAGCAUGAGUUGGAAUCGCUAGUAAUCGUGGAUCAGCAUGCCACGGUGAAUACGUUCUCGGGUCUUGACACACUGCCCGUC
rnacentral:rRNA from 1 species